AGGAGUGUAGCUUAGUGACAGAGCACUUGCCUAGCGUGAGAGAGGCCCAGGGUUUGAUCCCCAGCACUGUGC
rnacentral:tRNA from 1 species